rnacentral:rRNA from 1 species
GCCUACGGGACGCAGCAGUGAGGAAUAUUGGUCAAUGGUCGGGAGACUGAACCAGCCAAGCCGCGUGAGGGAGGAAGGUACAGAGUAUUGUAAACUUCUUUUAUUCGGGACGAAACAAAUGACGGUACCGAAUGAAUAAGCCACGGCUAACUACGUGCCAGCAGCCGCGGUAAUACGUAGGUGGCAAGCGUUAUCCGGAUUUACUGGGUGUAAAGGGCGUGUAGGCGGGAGAGCAAGUCAGACGUGAAAUUCCAGGGCUCAACCCUGGAACUGCGUUUGAAACUGUUCUUCUUGAGUGAUGGAGG